rnacentral:rRNA from 1 species
AGCGAACGCUGGCGGCAGGCCUAACACAUGCAAGUCGAACGGACCCUUCGGGGUUAGUGGCGGACGGGUGAGUAACACGUGGGAACGUGCCUUUAGGUUCGGAAUAGCUCCUGGAAACGGGUGGUAAUGCCGAAUGUACCCUUCGGGGGAAAGAUUUAUCGCCUUUAGAGCGGCCCGCGUCUGAUUAGCUAGUUGGUGAGGUAACGGCUCACCAAGGCGACGAUCAGUAGCUGGUCUGAGAGGAUGACCAGCCGCACUGGGACUGAGACACGGCCCAGACUCCUACGGGAGGCAGCAGUGGGGAAUCUUGCGCAAUGGGCGAAAGCCUGACGCAGCCAUGCCGCGUGAAUGAUGAAGGUCUUAGGAUUGUAAAAUUCUUUCACCGGGGACGAUAAUGACGGUACCCGGAGAAGAAGCCCCGGCUAACUUCGUGCCAGCCGCCGCAGUAAUAC